GGGGACGUUAUGGAUUCGACAGGAAUGGUUCAAGCUUGGGUGGCGCGUCAGAGGCUCGGCUCUGUAAAAACGGAACCUAUAAUAACAGGCAAAACAAACAACAACUUAGCAUUCGCUGCUUAAUAGCGUGAAUCUGCUCUAUGUAUCCAUCGCCCAUGUGGCUAUGUAGAGCUCACUCUCAGUGGGAUACGGUAGCUGGUGCAGUCUGAGUCAGCUACAAGAGAUUUCCAGACUAGUCCAUCGGACGCCUGCUUAUCGGCAGAAGAUCGGAUGAAUCUUAAUAGGUAAGCUACACGCGUAGAAGCUCAAGUGUUGGAGUUUCUGGACGCGGGUUCAAAUCCCGCCGUCUCCAUUU
rnacentral:tmRNA from 1 species